rnacentral:rRNA from 1 species
UACGUAGGGCGCAAGCGUUAUCCGGAAUUAUUGGGCGUAAAGAGCUCGUGGGCGGUUUGUCGCGUCUGCCGUGAAAGCCCGGGGCUCAACCCCGGGAGGCGGGUGGAUACUGUCUAGCUCGAGUCCGGAAGAGGAGUGUGGAAUUCCUGGUGUAGCGGUGAAAUGCGCAGAUAUCAGGAGGAACACCAAUGGCGAAGGCAGCACUCUGGGACGUGACUGACG